rnacentral:lncRNA from 1 species
UGAAUGAGAUUUAGGAAGUCGUUCCAAAUCACAUUCAAGGUAAUCAUAUAAGCACACGAAUCACAUUUGAUAGUAGACAUGAAUAAACUAUCAAACCAAACAAUGUGGUCAAGAGUAUUGUAUUAGAGAAAGACCGUAUUGCAUUUGUAAUCCUAAACUGAAUAGGUUCUCCACCUCUUCUGAUUAGCUUGGGUAACCAUAAUAUGCUGCUAGGUGUCACUCUUGGUUUGUGGAAUCCCUAAACGUGUAUAAACACUAAAGGGAGAAUUGAAAGUAAGUUUCAAUUCACAAUCGAUUUGAAAGAGUUUUAAUCGCCCAUUGCCUCGCUAAAAAGGAACCUAAUGGAUCAUACACCGUGUAAGGUAGAGAUUGAAGAAACAACAGAGAUGAGUAAGAAUAAUUAAAUGGUUUAAUUAUUUAUGGCAAGGAUUAAUUAAUAUGUUAAUUAAUCAAACGAAUAAGUUCGUUAAAGACCUCGGGAUAGUUUUGGACCUUAGGGCCCAAUGGG